UACACUAUAGUACAAUUUUAAGUAUAUGUUAAUUACGAUAACAUGGUAUUUUUUUAAUUAGUGUAU
rnacentral:tRNA from 1 species